GACGAACGCUGGCGGCGUGCUUAACACAUGCAAGUCGAACGGAAAGGCCCUGCUUUUGUGGGGUGCUCGAGUGGCGAACGGGUGAGUAACACGUGAGUAACCUGCCCUUGACGUUGGGAUAACUUCAGGAAACUGGGGCUAAUACCGGAUAGGAGCUCCUGCUGCAUGGUGGGGGUUGGAAAGUUUCGGCGGUUGGGGAUGGACUCGCGGCUUAUCAGCUUGUUGGUGGGGUAGUGGCUUACCAAGGCUUUGACGGGUAGCCGGCCUGAGAGGGUGACCGGCCACAUUGGGCCUGAGGUAGGGCCCAGACUCCUACGGGAGGCAGCAGUGGGGAGUAUUGCACAAUGGGCGGAAGCCUGAUGCAGCAACGCCGCGUGCGGGAUGACGGCCUUCGGGUUGUAAACCGCUUUCGCCUGUGACGAAGCGUGAGUGACGGUAAUGAGUAAAGAAGCACCGGCUAACUACGUG
rnacentral:rRNA from 1 species